rnacentral:rRNA from 1 species
CAGGACGAACGCUGGCGGCGUGCCUAACACAUGCAAGUCGAGCGGGGACAUGCGACGGAGUCAAAGUUUCCGGAUGGAGACAAAGAUGUAUGUUCUAGCGGCGGACGGGUGAGUAACGCGUGAGCAACCUGUCCUUCACAGGGGGAUAACACAGCGAAAGUUGUACUAAUACCGCAUAAGACCACAACGGGACAUCCCGCAGGGGUCAAAGGAGCAAUCCGGUGAAGGGUGGGCUCGCGUCCGAUUAGAUAGUUGGUGAGGUAACGGCCCACCAAGUCAACGAUCGGUAGCCGACCUGAGAGGGUGAUCGGCCACAUUGGGACUGAGACACGGCCCAAACUCCUACGGGAGGCAGCAGUGGGGAAUAUUGGGCAAUGGGGGGAACCCUGACCCAGCAACGCCGCGUGAGGGAAGAAGGUUUUCGGAUCGUAAACCUCUGUCCUUGGUGAAGAGGAAGAGACGGUAGCCAAGGAGGAAGCCCCGGCUAACUACGUGCCAGCAGCAGC